UACGUAGGGGGCAAGCGUUGUCCGGAUUUAUUGGGCGUAAAGAGCGUGUAGGCGGCGAUGUAAGUCGGGUGUGAAAGCCCCGGGCUCAACCUGGGAAUUGCAUUCGAGACUGAAUAGCUAGGGUACGGUAGAGGGAAGUGGAAUUUCCGGUGUAGCGGUGAAAUGCGUAGAUAUCGGAAGGAACAUCAGUGGCGAAAGCGACUUCCUGGACCAGUACCGACGUUCAGGCACGAAAGCGUGGGGAGCAAACAGG
rnacentral:rRNA from 1 species